GACAGAGGUGCCGAGCGUUAGGCGGAAUCACUGGGCUUAAAGCGUGUGUAGGCGGGCCGUUAAGUGUCUUGUGAAAUCCCCCGGCUCAACCGGGGAAUUGCUGGGCAUACUGGCGGUCUUGAGCAAUCUAGGGGCAGAUGGAACAAGUGGUGGAGCGGUGAAAUGCGUAGAUAUCACUUGGAACGCCAAAGGUGAAGACAGUCUGCUGGGAUUGCUGACGCUGAGACACGAAAGCCAGGGGAGCGAACGGG
rnacentral:rRNA from 1 species